rnacentral:rRNA from 1 species
GAGGAAUCUUGCGCAAUGGGCGAAAGCCUGACGCAGCAACGCCGCGUGGGGGAAGAAGGCUUUCGAGUCGUAAACCCCUUUUGCAGGGGAAGAAGAUCUGACGGUACCCUGCGAAUAAGCCACGGCUAACUACGUGCCAGCAGCCGCGGUAAUACGUAGGUGGCAAGCGUUGUCCGGAUUUAUUGGGCGUAAAGGGCGCGUAGGCGGUCCAUUAAGUUCGGGGUGAAAUCUCCCGGCUUAACUGGGAGCGGUCCCCGGAUACUGAUGGACUAGAGGGGGGUAGAGGAAGGCGGAAUUCCCGGAGUAGCGGUGAAAUGCGUAGAUACCGGGAGGAACACCGGUGGCGAAGGCGGCCUUCUGGGCCUACCCUGACGCUGAGGCGCGAAAGCGUGGGGAGCAAACCGGAUUAGAUACCCGGGUAGUCCACGCCCUAAACGUUGGACACUAGGUGUGGGGGGUAUCGACCCUUCCCGUGCCGCAGCUAACGCUUUAAGUGUCCGCCUGGGAAGUACGGCCGCAAGCUAAAACUCAAAGGAAUU